CACGUAGGGGGCGAGCGUUGUCCGGAUUCAUUGGGCGUAAAGAGCUCGUAGGCGGCUCAGUAAGUCGGGUGUGAAACCCUCAGGCUCAACCUGGGGACGCCACUCGAUACUGCUGUGGCUAGAGUCCAGUAGGGGAGUGUGGAAUUCCCGGUGUAGCGGUGAAAUGCGCAGAUAUCGGGAGGAACACCAAUGGCGAAGGCAGCUCACUGGGACGGUAUUGACGCUGAGACGCGAAAGCGUGGGGAGCAAACAGG
rnacentral:rRNA from 1 species